AGUGAACGCUGGCGGCGUGCCUAAAACAUGCAAGUCGAACGAUGAUGAUAGAGCUUGCUCUAUCUGAUUAGUGGCGCACGGGUGAGUAAUGCAUAGAUAAUGUGCCCAUUAGUUUGGGAUAGCCACUGGAAACGGUGAUUAAUACCAGAUACUCCUUCUCAUUAUAAGCUGAGUCGGGCAAGUUUUUUCGCUAAGGGAUCGGUCUAUGUCUUAUCAGCUAGUUGGUGAGGUAAUGGCUCACCAAGGCAAUGACGGGUAUCUGGUUGGAAAGGAUUAUCAGACACACUGGAACUGAGACACGGUCCAGAAUCCUACGGGGGGCAGCGGUGAGGAAUAUUGCACAAUGGAGGAAACUCUGAUGCAGCAACGCCGCGUGGAGGAUGACGCAUUUCGGUGUGGAAACUCCUUUUAUUAGGGAAGAUUAUGACGGUACCUAAUGAAUAAGCACCGGCUAACUCCGUGCCAGCCGCCGCAGUAA
rnacentral:rRNA from 1 species